AGUGAACGCUGGCGGUAGGCCUAACACAUGCAAGUCGAACGGCAGCACAGUAAGAGCUUGCUCUUACGGGUGGCGAGUGGCGGACGGGUGAGGAAUACAUCGGAAUCUACUUUUUCGUGGGGGAUAACGUAGGGAAACUUACGCUAAUACCGCAUACGACCUACGGGUGAAAGCAGGGGAUCUUCGGACCUUGCGCGAUUGAAUGAGCCGAUGUCGGAUUAGCUAGUUGGCGGGGUAAAGGCCCACCAAGGCGACGAUCCGUAGCUGGUCUGAGAGGAUGAUCAGCCACACUGGAACUGAAACACGGUCCAGACUCCUACGGGAGGCAGCAGUGGGGAAUAUUGGACAAAGGGCGCAAGCCUGAUCCAGCCAUACCGAGUGGGUGAAGAAGGCCUUCGGGUUGUAAAGCCCUUUUGUUGGGAAAGAAAAGCAGCAGGUUAAUACCCCGCUGUUCUGACGGUACCCAAAGAAUAAGCACCGGCUAACUUCGUG
rnacentral:rRNA from 1 species